rfam:Gossypium hirsutum cultivar TM-1 chromosome 15, whole genome shotgun sequence
AACCCAUGAUGAGGGCACCUUCUCAGUAAGUCCUUGUAUCUCUCUCAUGCAUUGUAAAGAGUUUUUAAGUCCAUUUGCACAAACGAAGAGAUAUCAUUACAUAAUGUGGCC